CAGUAGCCGCGGUAAUACGUAUGUCACAAGCGUUAUCCGGAUUUAUUGGGCGUAAAGCGCGUCUAGGCGGUUAUGUAAGUCUGAUGUGAAAAUGCAGGGCUCAACUCUGUAUUGCGUUGGAAACUGUGUAGCUAGAGUACUGGAGAGGUAAGCGGAACUACAAGUGUAGAGGUGAAAUUCGUAGAUAUUUGUAGGAAUGCCGAUGGGGAAGCCAGCUUACUGGACAGAUACUGACGCUGAAGCGCGAAAGCGUGGGUAGCAAACAGGAUUAGAUACCCGCGUAGUCCCUGUCUCUUAUACA
rnacentral:rRNA from 1 species